UGGGGAAUAUUGCACAAUGGGCGCAAGCCUGAUGCAGCCAUGCCGCGUGUGUGAAGAAGGCCUUCGGGUUGUAAAGCACUUUCAGCGAGGAGGAAGGUGGUGAGCUUAAUACGCUCAUCAAUUGACGUUACUCGCAGAAGAAGCACCGGCUAACUCCGUGCCAGCAGCCGCGGUAAUACGGAGGGCGCAAGCGUUAAUCGGAAUUACUGGGCGUAAAGCGCACGCAGGCGGUUUGUUAAGUCAGAUGUGAAAUCCCCGGGCUCAACCUGGGAACUGCAUUUGAAACUGGCAAGCUAGAGUCUCGUAGAGGGGGGUAGAAUUCCAGGUGUAGCGGUGAAAUGCGUAGAGAUCUGGAGGAAUACCGGUGGCGAAGGCGGCCCCCUGGACGAAGACUGACGCUCAGGUGCGAAAGCGUGGGGCAGCAAACAGGAUUAGAUACCCUGGUAGUCCAGCGCUGUAAACGAUGUCGAUUUGGAGGUUGUGCCCUUGAGGCGUGGCUUCCGGAGCUAACGCGUUAAAGUCGACCG
rnacentral:rRNA from 1 species